rnacentral:rRNA from 1 species
CCUACGGGGGGCUGCAGUGGGGAAUAUUGGACAAUGGGGGGAACCCUGAUCCAGCCAUGCCGCGUGUGUGAAGAAGGCCCUCGGGUUGUAAAGCACUUUCAGUGAGGAAGAACGCCUGGUGGUUAAUACCCAUCAGGAAAGACAUCACUCACAGAAGAAGCACCGGCUAACUCCGUGCCAGCAGCCGCGGUAAUACGGAGGGUGCGAGCGUUAAUCGGAAUUACUGGGCGUAAAGCGCGCGUAGGUGGCCUGAUAAGCCGGUUGUGAAAGCCCCGGGCUCAACCUGGGAACGGCAUCCGGAACUGUCAAGCUAGAGUGCAGGAGAGGAAGGUAGAAUUCCCGGUGUAGCGGUGAAAUGCGUAGAGAUCGGGAGGAAUACCAGUGGCGAAGGCGGCCUUCUGGACUGACACUGACACUGAGGUGCGAAAGCGUGGGUAGCAAACAGGAUUAGAUACCCUUGUAGUC